ensembl:lncRNA
UUAUUGCACACAGAGUCCAUGCAACUUCUUAUGUGACUUGUUAAGCACUAUUAUUGCACACAGAGUCCAUGCAACUUCUUAUGUGACUUGUUAAGCACUAUCAUUGCACACAGAGUCCAUGCAACUUCUUAUGUGACUUGUUAAGCACUAUUAUUGCACACAGAGUGAGUCCUUUCAACUUCUUAUGUGACUUGUUAAGCACUAUUAUUGCACUCAGAGUGAGUCCUUUCAACUUCUCAUGUAACUUGUUAAGUGUAAUCCAUUUUAAAUUCAAAAUGUGGCCAAAGUCAAGGGGUAUGAAUACUUUCUGAAAACAGAAUUUGUAUGCAAAUCUCAGUCUUGAAAUCUAGAUGGUUGGGAUAGAGUCUUUUAAAAAUAGAUGCUGGUGGUUGGUGGUUUUUUCUAUAAGCAUCUACCUAAACGUGUGUGUGCAUGCGUGCGUGUGUGUGUGUGUGUGUGUGUGUGUGCGUGCGUGCGUGUGUGUGUGUUGCUGUGUGGUUAGGUGUGGAGAGGAUGUUGGAAGUGAUCUGAUGUUUUCCUGCUGAUCGCUGUGUUUUUUUUGUCUCCAGUGAAGAAUGGCAGACAGGAAGCGCUCCUCCCUGGGAGCUGAUGUCACUUCCUGUCCAGUGCUGGCCCGUUGUGUGGGUGCCUGACAGAGGUGACAUGGCCCUGCCCUGACAGAUGUGCAGGUCGCACAGUUCACACGUUUCAUCUGAUUUAUAAACACCAAAGGCUUUCUUUGUGUUAAAGCUUGUAAAAUGCAUAGAAAUGAUGAGGAAAUUACAACUUAGUUUGGGUCUCUACUCAGUGGGACUGAUGUGAGACUUAUUCAAAUUCUAGCUCAGAUUGACAUCCAUCGGGAGUUCUGGGGCUACCAGUAGAGAAGCUGUGCUACAGAGAUGGAUGAAGUGAAUGUAUGUCAGAGAGGGAGCUGGUUUCAAGUCACUCUGCUUCAAGUUCACAUUCUGCCAAGAGGGUGUCAUAUUUUAACUCUAAUUUCUAUUGGCUCAGAAAAGUAAAAAUGUCAGACUAGAAAAUCUAAUGAGGUAUCCCAUAUUUUUCUAUGUAGGCCACUACCUCAUUUGUCUUGAAUAAUAGCUGGCUACACACACACUCACAUUAACACACACACACACACACACACACACACACACACACACACACACACACACACACACACACACACACACACCUGGGUUCUCACUAAUCUCAUUAGCUCUCAUCAGCGGGCUGAGAUCACAGAGCUAGGCGCCUCACUGACUGCUGUGUUCACAACAACAACCGCAUCACAUUAGCCAUCAUCCCUACUCCUACACCCCUGUCUGUACCACUUCCCAAAAUACUCCUACCUACCUGGCAUCACAUCACACACACACACACACACACACACACACACACACACACACACACACACACACACACACACACACACACACACACACACACACACACACACACACACACACACACACACACACACAGACACACACACACACACACACACACACACACAAACACACUAGACUGCUAGAAUGUAUCCCUCAUGACAUUCAUAUAAACAUUAUGGUUGAUAUUUUCCUGAUAUUUUGCCCGAGAAUAAAUCACCUUUCUCCUGGGUACCCCGGUAUUGAAAAGCAUCAUAAAGCAUCAUAAAGCAUCAUUUGAUUAGACUUAGAUUGAUUUGAUUAGAGCUUUGAUCAGCAUUAAUGGGGCGGCAGGUAGCCUAGUGGUUAGAGUGUAGGGGCGGCAGGGAGCCUAGUGGUUGGAGUGUGGGGGGCGGCAGGUAGCCUAGUGGUUAGAGUGUAGGGGCGGCAGGUAGCCUAGUGGUUAGAGUGUAGGGGCGGCAGGUAGCCUAGUGGUUAGAGUGUAGAGGCGGCAGGUAGCCUAGUGGUUAGAGUGUAGGGGCGGCAGGUAGCCUAGUGGUUAGAGUGUAGGGGCGGCAGGUAGCCUAGUGGUUAGAGUGUAGGAGCGGCAGGUAGCCUAGUGGUUAGUGUGUAUGGGCGGCAGGUAGCCUAGUGGUUAGAGUGUAGUGGCGGCAGGUAGCCUAGUGGUUAGAGUGUAUGGGCGGCAGGUAGCCUAGUGGUUAGAGUGUAGUGGCGGCAGGUAGCCUAGUGGUUAGAGUGUAUGGGCGGCAGGUAGCCUAGUGGUUAGAGUGUAGGGGCGGCAGGUAGCCUAGUGGUUAGAGUGUAGGAGCGGCAGGUAGCCUAGUGGUUAGUGUGUAUGGGCGGCAGGUAGCCUAGUGGUUAGAGUGUAGUGGCGGCAGGUAGCCUAGUGGUUAGAUUGUAUGGGCGGCAGGUAGCCUAGUGGUUAGAGUGUAGGGGCGGCAGGUAGCCUAGUGGUUAGAGUGUAGGGGCGGCAGGUAGCCUAGUGGUUAGAGUGUGGGGGGGCAGGUAGCCUAGUGGUUAGAGUGUAGGGGCGGUAGGUAGCCUAGUGGUUAGAGUGUAUGGGCGGCAGGUAGCCUAGUGGUUAGAGUGUAGAGGCGGCAGGUAGCCUAGUGGUUCGAGCGCUGCGCCAGUAACUGAAAUGUUGCUGGAUUAAACAAGUUCUGCCCCUGAACAAGGCAGUUAAUCCACUGUUUCCUGUUAGGCCGUCAUUGUAAAUAAGAAUUUGUUCUUAACUGACUUGCCUAGUUCAAUAAAGGUUAAAUAAAAUUAAAUAAAAGUCAAUCCUGAGCCAUAUAUUAAAUACAUUUAAUGAGCCCAGGCCCAAAAAUCCUUUUAACAAAUACAUAUAUGAUGUAGGCUACUGCACAACAGAAAAACAGAAAAGCCCAUAGAUGUAGUUUACCAUAUGCUCUCUUGGGUAAAUAAAUAAACCUAGCUCCAGUAGGCUAAUCUUUUUUUAGUGUGAACUGUAUUACUGUACUGUAUUAUACUGUAUUAUAUGGACUGGAAUUAUGGACUGGAAUUAUGGACUGGAAUUAUGGACUGGAAUUAUGCACUGGAAUUAUGGACUGGAAUUAUGCACUGGAAUUAUGGACUGGAAUUAUGCACUGGAAUUAUGGACUGGAAUUGUGGACUGGAAUUAUGGACUGGAAUUAUGGACUGGAAUUAUGCACUGGAAUUAUGCACUGGAAUUAUGCACUGGAAUUAUGGACUGGAAUUAUGCAUUGGAAUUAUGGACUGGAAUUAUGCACUGGAAUUAUGGACUGGAAUUAUGCACUGGAAUUAUGUACUGGAAUUAUGGACUGGAAUUAUGCACUGGAAUUAUGCACUGGAAUUAUGCACAUAGUUAAAACCAUGAUAAACCAGGGAGACAUAAGAUUCUGGUGCAUAUGUCGUACAGGUGCAUAUGUCGUACAGGUGCAUAUGUCGUACAGGUGCAUAUGUCGUACAGGUGCAUAUGUCCUACAGGUGCAUAUGUCCUACAGGUGCAUAUGUCCUACAGGUGCAUAUGUCCUACAGGUGCA